GGGUUGUGAGGUUAAGCGACUAAGCGUACACGGUGGAUGCCUAGGCAGUCAGAGGCGAUGAAGGGCGUGCUAAUCUGCGAAAAGCGUCGGUAAGCUGAUAUGAAGCGUUAUAACCGACGAUACCCGAAUGGGGAAACCCAGUGCAAUACGUUGCACUAUCGUUAGAUGAAUACAUAGUCUAACGAGGCGAACCGGGGGAACUGAAACAUCUAAGUACCCCGAGGAAAAGAAAUCAACCGAGAUUCCCCCAGUAGCGGCGAGCGAACGGGGAGGAGCCCAGAGUCUGAAUCAGUUUGUGUGUUAGUGGAAGCGUCUGGAAAGUCGCACGGUACAGGGUGAUAGUCCCGUACACCAAAAUGCACAGGCUGUGAACUCGAUGAGUAGGGCGGGACACGUGACAUCCUGUCUGAAUAUGGGGGGACCAUCCUCCAAGGCUAAAUACUCCUGACUGACCGAUAGUGAACCAGUACCGUGAGGGAAAGGCGAAAAGAACCCCGGCGAGGGGAGUGAAAUAGAACCUGAAACCGUGUACGUACAAGCAGUGGGAGCACCUUCGUGGUGUGACUGCGUACCUUUUGUAUAAUGGGUCAGCGACUUAUAUUUUGUAGCAAGGUUAACCGAAUAGGGGAGCCGUAGGGAAACCGAGUCUUAACUGGGCGUCUAGUUGCAAGGUAUAGACCCGAAACCCGGUGAUCUAGCCAUGGGCAGGUUGAAGGUUGGGUAACACUAACUGGAGGACCGAACCGACUAAUGUUGAAAAAUUAGCGGAUGACUUGUGGC
rnacentral:rRNA from 1 species